GUCCCCGUAGCUCAACUGGAUAGAGCGACGGCCUUCUAAGCCGUAGGUUGCAUGUUCAAGUCAUGCCGGGGACA
rnacentral:tRNA from 1 species